UUAGACCUAAACCUUCAGCCGCUUUCAUUCUUCUCCUUCACGCUUUCUCUUCUCUCCAAACCUUAAACGAUCCUUUCCUUCAUCCAGUUCUUCCUUCAUCGAUGCAUCAAUAUUGCUUAAUCGCCGUUACCACCAGAAACUUGGAUUAUCUUCUUAUUUUUUGUUGUGGAGACAACCGACAUAAACCCUAAGUUAAGGGUUCUGAUGAUUGGAACAAAAUGUUAAGAGCUUUGUUUGAAAGGUAUGUUAUUUGAUUAGAUUUGCAUUUUCAUUACAUAAUUAGGUUAAAUUUGUUCGUUAACAUGUUGAUUUUGAUUCUGAUUAAAUCUCAUCUGUUUUUAGGGUUUUUUUUUUAUUUGAGGGCUGCGUUUUUGGUUUUGAGUCUGCUUGGAUUUGGCGCAUACUCAAAAAAGGUCCGAUUUGAAUCUGAUUUUUUUUUUGUGGUGACCAGCGAUUGACAUACUUGGUAUGGGGAUUGGGGACACCUUCUAUCCUAGCAAUGAAUAAGAUCCUUAUCUUAAAAAUACAAAUGAUAAUGACUCCGAAGAAGAGGCUGAAGACAUGGUCGUCAAACCCGAAGAUGCUGUUGUAUUUGUGCACAUGUUAAGGAUUAGCAGGGUCGGUUAUUGGAGGCAAGAAGGCUUGGAUUUGUUAUAUGUUAUAAAAAGGGUAUGGUUCCUUCUUGUAGAAAAGAAAGGGAAUAUAUUAUCAUCAUAUCAUCAGCCUCUUUUAUGGGAGAAACUACCAACAAACGUUGGGUUCCCAUUCAAAACAAGUAUUUCAGUUCCUAAAUUACCCCUUCUGAAGUUGAAAAUUAUGAAUAGUAUUAUUCUUUUGCAUUUUUGAACUCCAGAUAAUUGGUGUUACACCUAAGAUGUUGACAUAAUUUGUUUAAAGCUUCCUACAGGAAUUCCACAGGAUGAAUUAUACGAAGACUUUCAAUCAUCAUUUAUCAAGAGGUGGCAAUUUUGGCAGGAUGAGUAACUGGGCCGGGUACAGUAAAUGUCUCAAUCGGACAAUAUCAAACCUCAAAAAAAAAGUCUGACUGGUGUGUGCAGUAAAGUAUACAAUAAACAACUGGUAGCAAACUUGCAGGAAAAAAACCAUCUUUUUGUUCAUAUACCGGAAUCAAGUGACUCGUGUGUAAACCAAGACGACUCAACCUAUUUUAGGGUCUCAAGCGAAAUUUAGCCGGGAAGGUAACACCAAAAAGUGUCAUGUACAUCUUUAGCACUCUCUUGCUUGACCUUUUUAGUGGGAAACACAAUUCACCUAGCCAUACCAUUUGAGAAAUUCUUCAAAAGAAGCUUCAUUGGUUGCUAAGAUCAAUAUUAGUGGAAACUACAAGUUUGACAAGUUGCUACUAGAGAUUAAACGAUGCAGGUUAAGAGCACUUGUACUAUUUCAGAGAAAUUUGAACUCGAUGGUUGACUUUCUGUUGGGAGAUUCGAAGAAGAAACUGCGUUUUCUGUGGAGAUCUUCAACCACAUGCUAUUUGGCAUUAAAACCAAAGGUGAAAGGAACUAGAGGGGAGUAUUUUGAGGCGGUGUGGUGUAAUGUUUAAUAUUGUGUUUAUAUUUUGUGUGAAUAUUGUGAAUGAGUAUUUGAUGCUAUUUUUGCAUGAUUUUGAUCGAAGUGGACGAUGUGGUGUAAUAUGUUUGUAUCCAGUUACAUGCAAUGAUGUAUUUGAGCAUAUAUUAAAAAUAAAAAGAUUUUAAAGUUUAGACUGUAUA